rnacentral:rRNA from 1 species
GACGAACGCUGGCGGCGUGCUUAACACAUGCAAGUCGAACGGUGAAGCGCCUUCCUUUUUGGUGGGUGUGGAUGAGUGGCGAACGGGUGAGUAACACGUGAGUAACCUGCCCCCUUCUUCUGGAUAACCGCAUGAAAGUGUGGCUAAUACGGGAUAUUCUGGGUCUGUCGCAUGAUGGGUCUGGGAAAGAUAUUGUUUCGGUGGGGGAUGGGCUCGCGGCCUAUCAGCUUGUUGGUGGGGUGAUGGCCCACCAAGGCGGUGACGGGUAGCCGGCAUGAGAGGGUGGCCGGUCACACUGGGAGUGAGACACGGCCCAGACUCCUACGGGAGGCAGCAGUGGGGAAUAUUGCACAAUGGGCGCAAGCCUGAUGCAGCGACGCCGCGUGAGGGAUGGAGGCCUUCGGGUUGUGAACCUCUUUCGCCAGUGAAGCAGGCCUGCCUCGUUUGUGGGUGGGUUGACGGUAGCUGGAUAAGAAGCGCCGGCUAACUACGUG